rnacentral:SRP_RNA from 1 species
GCCGGGCGUGGUGGCGCACGCCUUUAAUCCCAGCACUUGGGAGGCAGAGGCAGAUGGAUUUCUGAGUUCGAGGCCAGCCUGGUCUACAGAGUGAGUUCCAGGACAGCCAGGGCUACACAGAGAAACCCUGUCUCGAAAAAACAAAAGAAAAAAAAAAGAUGCAAUAAGAAUAAGUUUUUUCAUUUUUUAGUUUUGGUUUUGGUUUUGGUUUUGGUUUUUCGAGACAGGGUUUCUCUGUGUAGCCCUGGCUGUCCUGAAACUCACUCUGUAGACCAGGCUGGCCUCGAACUCAGAA